AGUGAACGCUGGCGGUAGGCCUAACACAUGCAAGUCGAACGGCAGCACAGGAGAGCUUGCUCUCUGGGUGGCGAGUGACGGACGGGUGAGGAAUACAUCGGAAUCUACUUUUUCGUGGGGGAUAACGUAGGGAAACUUACGCUAAUACCGCAUACGACCUACGGGUGAAAGCAGGGGAUCUUCGGACAUUGAGCGAUUGAAUGAGCCGAUGUCGGAUUAGCUAGUUGGCGGGGUAAAGGCCAACCAAGGCGACGAUCCGUAGCUGGUCUGAGAGGAUGAUCAGCCACACUGGAACUGAGACACGGUCCAGACUCCUACGGGAGGCAGCAGUGGGGAAUAUUGGACAAUGGGCGCAAGCCUGAUCCAGCCAUACCGCGUGGGUGAAGAAGGCCUUCGGGUUGUAAAGCCCUUUUGUUGGGAAAGAAAUCCAGCUGGCUAAUACCCGGUUGGGAUGACGGUACCCAAAGAAUAAGCACCGGCUAACUUCGUGCCAGCCGCCGCAGUAA
rnacentral:rRNA from 1 species